ACGGGUAUAAUAUAGCGGUCAUUAUUUCCGACUUCCACUCGGAAAACACCGGUUCGAGUCCGGUUGCCCGUA